UACGGGGGGGGCAAGCGUUGUUCGGAAUUACUGGGCGUAAAGGGCGCGUAGGCGGUUGGAUAAGUCAGCUGGGAAAACCACGGGCUUAACUCGUGGCCUGCAGUUGAGACUGUCUGGCUUGAGUGUGGGAGAGGAGAGUGGAAUUCCUGGUGUAGCGGUGAAAUGCGUAGAUAUCAGGAGGAACACCGGUGGCGAAGGCGGCUCUCUGGACCACAACUGACGCUGAGGCGCGAAAGCUAGGGGAGCAAACCGG
rnacentral:rRNA from 1 species